rnacentral:rRNA from 1 species
UACAGAGGUGGCAAGCGUUGUUCGGAAUUACUGGGCGUAAAGGGCGCGUAGGCGGCCUUCUAAGUCAGACGUGAAAUCCCCAGGCUUAACUUGGGAACUGCGUCUGAUACUGGGAGGCUUGAGUGCGGGAGAGGGAUGUGGAAUUCCAGGUGUAGCGGUGAAAUGCGUAGAUAUCUGGAGGAACACCGGUGGCGAAGGCGGCAUCCUGGGACCGACACUGACGCUGAGGCGCGAAAAGCUAGGGGGAGCAAAACGGGG